CCUGAUGCAGCCAUGCCGCGUGUAUGAAGAAGGCCUUCGGGUUGUAAAGUACUUUCAGCAGUGAGGAAGGCAGGUACGUUAAUAGCGUGCUUGUUUGACGUUAGCUGCAGAAGAAGCACCGGCUAACUCCGUGCCAGCAGCCGCGGUAAUACGGAGGGUGCGAGCGUUAAUCGGAAUUACUGGGCGUAAAGCGCAUGCAGGUGGUUUGUUAAGUCAGAUGUGAAAGCCCGGGGCUCAACCUCGGAAUUGCAUUUGAAACUGGCAGACUAGAGUACUGUAGAGGGGGUAGAAUUUCAGGUGUAGCGGUGAAAAUGCGUAGAGAUCUGAAGGAAUACCGGUGGCGAAGGCGGCCCCCUGGACAGAUACUGACACUCAGAUGCGAAAGCGUGGGGAGCAAACAGGAUUAGAUACCCUGGUAG
rnacentral:rRNA from 1 species